rnacentral:rRNA from 1 species
UCCCCUAGUAACUGCGAGUGAAGCGGGAAAAGCUCAAAUUUAAAAUCUGGUAGUCUCUGGCUGCCCGAGUUGUAAUCUGGAGAAGUGUUUUCUGUGCUGGGCCGUGUACAAGUCUCUUGGAAUAGAGCGUCAUAGAGGGUGAGAAUCCCGUCUUUGACACGGACAUCCAGUGCUCUGUGAUGCACUCUCAAAGAGUCGAGUUGUUUGGGAAUGCAGCUCAAAAUGGGUGGUAAAUUCCAUCUAAAGCUAAAUAUUGGCAAGAGACCGAUAGCGAACAAGUACCGUGAGGGAAAGAUGAAAAGAACUUUGGAAAGAGAGUUAAACAGUACGUGAAAUUGUUGAAAGGGAAACGCUUGAAGUCAGUCGCGUCWAGCAAGGAUCAGCCCUUCUCGGAGGGUGUAUUUCUUGCUUGACGGGUCAACAUCAAUUUUGAYUACUGGAAAAAGGCCAGAGGAAGGUGGCACCUUCGGGUGUGUUAUAGCCUUUGGUCAUAUACAGUAGUUGGGAUUGAGGAAUUCAGCAUGCCUUCAUGGCUGGGGUUCGCCCACAUUCAUGCUUAGGAUGUUGGCAUAAUGGCUUUAAGCGACCCGUCUUGAAACACGGACCAAGGAGUCUAACAUACCUGC